UUUUUUUUUUUGCACUUACAGUUCUUGAACUGUUUUAAACUUUAAAUCUUAAGUAUUAUGCCUCCAGAUUGAAGCAGUUUGUUGUGUUACUUCUUGUUUCUAGUGCCAAGAUCACAAUCAAAAGGGAGUCACCAAUAAGGAUUUGGUGUACAGCUAAGCAAACUACCUGUGGAGAAAGCUCUGAACAAAACAGGGAAUUGUGUACCAUGUAACCAGACUGCUAUAAACCUUCAGCUGCAGACCACUGACAGGAGUCUAUGGACCACCACUUGGGUGAACCUCUGCUUUAAACCGUUAAAUGAUUCAACAUUUGUUCCCUCUGAUGACACCACGAAUCUGAGAAUGAAGAACUUCUUAGAGCUGAUUGGAAAUGGCAUUGCGGAGCUGAGACUUAACUGGAGGAAAUAUAU
rnacentral:lncRNA from 1 species